rnacentral:lncRNA from 1 species
UGUUACAGGAUUUUCCGUCUAGUUACAUUAGUGCAGAGGAGGCCUGUGGUUGCACAGGGAAAAGGGAGGCAGAGCUAACAGUUGUAGAGAAAGUAGUUGUGGUAUUGUAAGGAUAGAUUCAUUGGGAUAGAGCUUUUAUCAUUAUCAAUUGGCUCUGAAAUUAUUGUAUUGGCAUCUUGUAAAUUGUGAUAUUAUUGAUACAUAAAUACGAUUGGUUAAUUAAGCUUUAAGAGUUUUAAUUCUACCAGGUAAUUGGGUGAUGUAAUGGUUGACCGUGGGGUGUGUGUGGGGGUGUUGGGUGAGUAUGGUGGGCCUAGAGACUAUGAGAGUAAGAACACCCCGCAGGAGCACUGUGGCUCUCUGGUUGCCAGCACUAGGGCAGGAACAUGCAGAUCCGUUUUUUAAUAUUUCCUUCAACACACAGGGAAUAAGUCCUGAGUCUUCAUUGAUACAGACCUGGUCACAAACCACACCCAGUAGUCCACUGGUCUGGGUCCACAUGGAAGGUCUGAAGGCAGAAGUGUGGGAGUGGGGCCUACUUUGUUAGUAAGGAUGUCCAGACUGGGACAGCACACUUGUAUGCUACCGGUAGUCACAGCCCAGCUCCUCCAGGCUUCUAUCAUAUUUACAAAUACAUACAUAAAUACAUUACAUACAACAGUGGGUCUGGGAGUCAGGCUUCCCACAGAGGCUCAAAGAAUUGUGUCUCAGAAUUCUAGGAAGAGCAAGGGCUCCCAAAAAUGUGUUCCAUGUGUUCUUUCCUGCCCAUAGUAGACCAUGCCCAAGAGCCCACCCUCUCCUUUUCAGGGUCCAGUUUGUCCAGUACAGAGAGUUGCCAUAGGUGGGCUGGCUACGCCGGCCAGAGCCGCUCGGGCAUCGUGUAGUAGGCGAUGGUGCAGCAGGUGGGAGUGGGGUGGCUGGUGGGCCCACAUGAUGUGCAGGAACCCGGCAGGUGUAGCCAAGGGCCGCUCCAGGGGCAAGGGUCCCAGUGGAGACCAAGUCAGAGGGUAGACUGAAAGAUGGAGGAAUGCUUGCAUGAAAUCCCUGCUUGUCAAAUGUCUGUGUCUUGUACACAGAACCAAUCAUAUUAGGUAAGCGAGUGCCUGAAGAUACUGAUACUCCGUUGCCAGGCCCAGAACAAGUCUACUUGUUUGGUGCCUGAGAUGAUCCACCAUAGCCAUUUGGUGUAUUCUCCUGCUCUCCCCUGGGUCAAAUCGUCAUAACCUGUGCUGUAAGUAUGCUGCCCAUAGCCACUGGCCUGCUGAAAAAUGGUCGGGGGAGUACUGAGGGUCACAUCCUGCUGCUUCGCUGAGAUUGGAGGGACAAACAUAGUGGGCCCAUACUGGAAGGCACUGGGCACGCCCGUGUACUAGAGGAGGCUGGUAUAGCUGUUUAGCCAAGUGGCAGAGCAGGAUUCAAAAAGGGCUGCUGGGCUGUGUGGUAGGUCUGAGAUUGACUCUGCUGUGCCUGAGCUGGUGUCUUUGGAAGUGCAAGGGAUGCAGAGUCUCCUUGUCCAAAUUUUGUGACAUGACCUGAAUUUGGUUUAUCAGCUAGAUUCCCAUCUCUUGGAGCAGAGGUUGUUGCUGCUGAGAAGGCAAAGAAGGACACGGUGCUCUUCACGCUGGCACGAGUGUGUGGCAUGCUUGUGGAACGAAUUGCAUGUGCAGAGGACAAGCUGUUCUGGGGACCAGAGAGGGAGCUGCUGAGCUGAGAAAGAAGGCUGCUGCACAUGUUUGCCAGACAGGGUCAAGGAAGGCAAAUUAUGACUUUUAACUCUCAAUGAACCUGUACAUCUAGUGACAGACAAUGAAUGUCUAGUCUUAAUGAGAACGCAUGUAAGCAUCUCCGUUGUAAACUUCUUAUUCCUUUACGGUUUGAAUUAAUGUUGGAACUUUUAGUGAACUUCCGUAAAAACAAACAAACAAACAACAAAAAUGGAUGCUUGGAAAAACCAUGUGAUCUACUUCCCUAGAAAAGGAAAAAAUAUCCAGGAAUGAUUUCAUCAAAGCAGGAGGAGGCAGCAAGAUUAGGAGGAGAAGAGAGCGGGAUUGGGAGAAGGAAGGAACAGGACAGCAGAUUAGAGUGACUUAGAAAUUGAAAGGUAACAUAGAUAUUAAGAGCUCAAUACAUAGAAUGCAGACAGAAAGAGGAACAAGGAAGAAGCUACAGAAAGAGUAGAAAGAACAGGCAAGCUUCUCAAUGCCACGGGACAGAACAGGUCUUUUCUUAACAGCAAGGCAGGCUUAGUCUUACUAAAGAGGACAAAACUUUUCUCUUACAAACUCAUGUUUUUUGCUUUGUUUGUUUUUUACCUUUCGUUUUUGUUUUUGUAGCAAGAAAAUGGUAGAAGCUUUCUCUUUCUCUGUGUAUUAAGGAUUGCAGUAGCUCACUUUUCAUCCAGAAUGAAUGAGUUCUCUCUGCACUGGCACUUGGUCUUUUGCUCCAUACACAUAUGUAAGCCUGGACGUGUGUGCGUUACAUAUGUAAUUAUAGAGAUAAAUGAGUAGCUAAGCCCAACUGGGAUGCAUGAAGAUGUUUGAGCAUGUGCACAUGAGUCUGUCUAUGAAUUUAUGUAAGAUUAUGUAUAUUUGCUUUCGUAAACGUUUUUCCUUUUGAGAGUGACUUGCUUCUGGUUCAAUAAAAGUAUACUGCUGCAAAUCUCAUUUCCACCUGACAAGUGAGAUGCCAGACUUGUAGGUGAGAGAGAAAAAAGGAGCUAGCAAUUAAUCUUUUACUUCGUUACCCACCAUAGGGCUACAGGUGGUAGUCGCCCAUGCCUGUGGUUUUUAACCUCAGAAUACGCAAGAAAGUUAUUAGGAAUUUUUAGAAGCCAGCAGCUUCAGCGUUGAGCAUAGUUAGAUAGCUUAAAAGCCAGAGACUAUCAGUCUUUAAAACCACGUCUGGAGACCAUCAGUCUUUAAAGCUACCUCUGCAUCCAAGGAUGUGUUCUGCUUCAAACCAUUCUAGGCCACGCUGGCUUCCAGCAAUAAGGUAUAAGGGGUAGCAAAGUCCUUGUGCGCACAGUUCAGCACUGGAGAAACUACAAAUAAACACACAGCUUUUUUUUUUUUUUCAACAGAAGGCGGGGCUUAGAUGUUCUCCUGUAAUACCUGAGGAAAAUGUACUUUGCAGCCUGUUAAUCCUCUGCUAAAUGCUGAGCCAGGCCUUGCCUAUAUCUUCCAGAACUUAUACUUUAUUUAACCUAGACCCCUUUCCCUUACUUACAGACCAUAAAAAUCACCCCUGUGAGAGACAUCAUUUGUAUAACAGCUUACCUGACUUCUAUCUUAUCUUAGGGCCAGGACAGUCCUGACAGCCACCCACAUUAUGUUUACCUCAGACAAUUUCCCUAAACCCUAAAUCAAAUCUUUAGCAUCAUCCUUGAGUCAAGAACCUCUCAUGAAAGAGGCCACAUGUGAUUCGUAAAGAAUCUUAACGUAAAUGAGUUUUUAAAAUUGUCCUGCAAUUGGGACUGAGUUAAUUGUUUUCAGAAAAUGUUUUCAAAAUUGGGCUGUGCUUAAGUAUGGCUAAAGUGAAACGAUCUGGGUUACUCUCAAGAACUCCUGGUCCAACACCAGUUGCCAGGAUCUGAUCUUACCCUGAUCAUUUGUUUUUUCCCACCUGCUGUAAAACCUGCACAGGCCUUCUCACAAUAAGCCAGGCUUCUUGGGUCACUUUUUGCAUAUGAGAAUGCUUCAAAGACAGACAUAUGUAGUUUUCUGUUUUUCAGUGUGUUAUGGAAGGAAAGUGAUUGUCAAAGCAUUUUCACAAAUCAGUUAUAUAUCCUAAAUUAAUUUUAAACUUAGCAUGUUUUCUCACAUUUCUAGGAGAUUUGCGUGCUUUUUUCCUACAAAAUAUUUGCCAUGGUGUCUUUAUGUUCUAUGUUUACAUUGCUUGUUUCUCCUGCCCUCUAUACUUUAUUUGCAUGUAGACUUUAAUAGUUUAGAAAAUGCUUAUGUUAAGAUAAUGUCUCUCACUUUGUACUCUGCACAUUUCUCCUCUCAAACUUUGUUCUCUGCUUUUUUUAGGAAGAAAUUACUGGAAUUAAACAUAAUUUGUUUACUAAUAAGGGAUUUCAGUUUUCUCAAAAUUAGUUUGUC